AUUGAACGCUGGCGGCAUGCCUUACACAUGCAAGUCGAACGGUAACGCGGGGCAACCUGGCGACGAGUGGCGAACGGGUGAGUAAUGCAUCGGAACGUGCCCAGUAGUGGGGGAUAGCCCGGCGAAAGCCGGAUUAAUACCGCAUACGACCUACGGGUGAAAGCGGGGGACCGUAAGGCCUCGCGCUGUUGGAGCGGCCGAUGUCAGAUUAGGUAGUUGGUGGGGUAAAGGCCUACCAAGCCUUCGAUCUGUAGCUGGUCUGAGAGGACGACCAGCCACACUGGGGACUGAGACACGGCCCAGACUCCUACGGGAGGCAGCAGUGGGGGAAUUUUGGACAAUGGGCGCAAGCCUGAUCCAGCCAUGCCGCGUGCGGGAAGAAGGCCUC
rnacentral:rRNA from 1 species